AAGAACAAAAAAAAUAAUUAUACAUCAGCUUAAAAUAUUUGUGAUGUCGAAUAUAAAAUAUAUACCUCAAAUCUUUUUAAUAUCUUCAUAACUUUAGUGAUCGCCUCCACCUUGCGAGGGAAUGGAGCAUUGCUCCAAAGUAAGAGAUGGGGAUAGAUGAACGGUGGUUUAUAAUUUUUGAGAAGCUUGUUGGCAUGCUCAAAGAUCCAUACUUGCACAAAUAAAGCAAUAUAAGCAUUACAUUUUAAAUCAAUUCAACUAUCUAAUAAUUAAAUUUCAAGAAAAUAUAGAUAAGCUUACCACCAGAGCCACUAUAUAUCCAUCCACGUAUCCAAUAGAACCUUUUUAGGUAAUGUUCCUUAUGCGUAUACUCUCUGUUAGACCAUGAAUCUUUUGUCGAAGGAAAGAAAAAGCGGCAAGAUCUCAAUUGUAUG
rnacentral:lncRNA from 1 species